AAGAACAAAGCUUAGGACGCAAAUAACUCCGCUCUAGAGUCGAUUAACUGAAAAGGCCUCCCAUCGUAUGAAAGGUCGUACAGUGCACACGCUAACUCUAGAGCAUGGGACAACACUAACCAUCAGUGACCACACAGCUAACUAGAGAGUAAUUGCAAAAACAACUGGUCAAUAUGUAUCCAUGUCACAGUACACAACUAUGCUCAAAACAACAGGUCAAUAUGUAUCCAUGUCACAUUACACAACUAUGCUCAAAACAACAGGUCAAUAUGUAUCCAUGUCACAUUACACAACCAUGCUCAAACAGUACAAACGCUCGGAGCAUAAGAUUUUCGGCUCCAUAACCCACAAGUCACCAAGUUUCAGAAGUAAGAGGAAGGAUCCAAA
rnacentral:lncRNA from 1 species